GAGGGUACAGCUCAGUGGCAGAGGGUAUGCUUAGCAGGCACAAGGUCCUGGGUUCAAUCCCCAGUACUUCCA
rnacentral:tRNA from 1 species